UGAGGCAGGAGAAUGGUGUGAACCCGGGAGGCGGAGCUGGCAGUGAGCUGAGAUCGCGCCCCUGCACUCAGGCCUGGGCAACAGAGAGAGGCUCCAUCUCAAAAAAAAAAAAAAAAAAAAGGCAAUCAGGCCACAAGGGUUUCACAAGGACAUUCCUGGUGCUGUGCUGAGCUUGAAGCCACUAGGCUUGAUUUACCUACAACCCAGUGAAACACCAGCUGUGGUGGCUAAGGGAUUGUUUGUGUCAACCUCUCCCCCAACUCCAGGCAGCGCAGCUUUCAGCUCCAGGAAAAACUUUUUCCACUUGCAGAAAGGAGAGGGAGGAAUACAGAGGACUUUGUCUUGCAACUUGGGUGCCAGCUCAGUCACAGUAAAAUAAACCACAAAGCAGAUUCUUAAAGCCUCUGAUUCUAGGGCCCGGCUCCUGGACAGCAUUUCUAAACCUGCUUGGGCCAGAAGGGAACCUGCUACUCUCAAGGUGUUACUACAAACAUUCAAACUGAUACCUACUGAGAAGCACUCUAGGCUAAGUGGUUUGGAAAUUCUGCAUCCCCCAGAAUGCUUCAAUGCUUCUGAUGAAAGCCCUGAUAUAUGGGAUUCCUGUUGUGAGAUCCUAGGUGAAUAAUCCUAACUGCAGGACUAAUAUUGGACAUACUCAGAGACAGACUUCAUAAGGCCACCCUCACUUUUCCACAUCAGGUGGAA
rnacentral:lncRNA from 10 species